AUUGAACGCUGGCGGCAGGCUUAACACAUGCAAGUCGAGCGAGCGGCGGACGGGUGAGUAAUGUCUGGGAAACUGCCUGAUGGAGGGGGAUCACUACUGGAAACGGUAGCUCAUACCGCAUACCCUCAGAUGUGCCCAGAUGUGAUUAGCUAGUAGGUGGGGUAAUGGCUCACCUAGGCGACGAUCCCUAGCUGGUCUGAGAGGAUGACCAGCCACACUGGAACUGAGACACGGUCCAGAAUCCUACGGGAGGCAGCAGGGGGGAAUAUUGCACAAUGGGCGCAAGCCUGAUGCAGCCAUGCCGCGUGUUUGAAGAAGGACUUCGGGUUGUAAAGCACGUUCAGCGAGGAGGCGUUACUCGCAGAAGAAGCACCGGCUAACUCCGGGCCAGCAGCCGCGGUAAUUC
rnacentral:rRNA from 1 species